AGAAUUAACCUUUGACCCCUAUUAUAGAAUCAGGAAAGAAACUCACUGCUCUGGUUUGGCCUCCCUGCCUGGCCCGGAGCAAUGAACACAGUUGCCACCAGGAGCUCCUGAGAGGGAAAGAGAGGCAGGGAGUAGAAGAGACCUCAGGCAUCUGUGAGCGUGAUGGGAACAGACUCUGUGGAGAUGAUGGCUUCACUGAGACUGCUUGCUUAAUGGGGACAGCAGAGGAUGCUUAAACCUUUGAGGGGGGCUGCUGGACAUGCCCUUAUAAGGGGAGAGGAAGUUUAACUUGACCGCCAGGCUACGUGAGUGAUCUCCUCAAGCUGACAAAGUUGGGGGAACCAGAUUACAUAUGGUGGGACAUGCAGGCCCUGGGUGGGUGGGGGAGCAAUCCUACUCCUGUCAAUCUCAGGAUUAGAUUUCCUGUUUGGACAUACUUUGACCCCAUUCUUGCUUCCUCCUGCCUCACCCCCUUCCCUUGUCCCACUGCUCCCAGGCUCCACAGAAACUAAGACUAGGACACUAAUCUCCUCCCAGGCCACACUCACCGGCUCCCAAGGCAGAGUGCAGCAGCAGCAGCAGCAGCAGCAGCAGCAGCAGCAGCAGCAGCAGCAGCAGCAGCAGCAGCAGCAUUCUGUUCUGCCCGGCAAGAGAUCACCCCAUUCUGACUAACAACCUGGUCUCUGAUUUUGUCCACCAGUAUACCCCCAAUAAUAGCUAACACAUAAUCAUCAUUUUCAGAUGCUGGCUGCCUCAACUCAGAGUAAAGACUGAACAUUUGUCCUUUCAUCUUCUGCAAAGGAGAAAAUGAACUACUCUGAGCAGAUGGUAUUUGGUCAUGUGCAAAUGGCUACUGGUCUUGGGUUGCUGUGAGCCGGAGGGAGGUGAACAAGGUGCUGGUCAGGGUGGAGCAAAUUCUGGAACAUCCCCAAAUAACUGAUCUGUAAUUAUAUUUGGAGAAGCAAAGACUUCAUAAAAGUACCUGGCAGGCUCAUCUUAUUGCAGCUUACCACGUUACAUACAUCUUUAUAAGUUACCAAAAACAUGUCCUGGAUUAAAGCAGUUUGUGAACACCAUCAAGGCUUAAGCCCCAAACUUCUCCCCCUGAGAGGUUUGUAUUAUCCCUGAGAGGAACCUGGAGCACCCCGCGUGUGAGUGUUUUGACUACAUAUGGUUAACAGAUAUGAUACUUUCCUGCCUGGCUUUCAUUCCUAUCUCGAUUUUUUUCCCAGUUGUAUCAGCAUGUUUUUGUUGUUUGCCACAUUCUGUUCUUCACAGUCCUUUCCCCAUUUUUCCCACCUUGUUCUUCAUCCGAAAGGGCUGAUCUGCAUAGUAGAUUUGUAUAGAAGUUUGCCUUGGUGAACGCUUGACCAUUGUGUCCCAGUUCAUGUGAUGCAAGUGUGUUCGCCAUGGUGAUGUUUCUUCUCCGGGAGGGGCCGUGCACUCCUGCUUAGAAGAGGUGCCUGGAAGAGACCCCACAGAGCCAGCCAAUCCCUUCCACCAUGGGAAGGCCCAGCAGGAAAACAUUGUCGAUGAGUCAGAAAGUCGGUCCUCCACAGACCGACACAGUCUGCCUUGAUCUUAUACUCCUCAGCUUCGAGAACACUGUGCGAUAGAUUUCUAUUGUUUAUAGUCACACAGAUCUGCUGUUUUUGUUACUGCAGUCCACACAGAAGAGCCCAGAGCCUGAAGUGAAUGUGAUGCAGGGGGACCAUGGAAGAUACAUUUCCUCAACUCAGUUUCUCAUAGAGGAAGUUUGGAGCUGAGAGAGUCAGGAUUUCGUGUUGGACUGGACUUUAUUAAUAAAACAUGAGAUAGUUCCUGCUUGAAA
rnacentral:sRNA from 1 species